rnacentral:lncRNA from 12 species
CUUGGAGGGCAUUUCUCUUGGGGGUCUCUCUAUCCUCCUGUAGUCUCUUCAGUAAUACUGAACUCGGAAGUGCCUUGACCUGAUCCUGUGUGGUUCUGAAAAAUGACUGCAUCAAUGUCACUUUUGAUUCCUGUUGGACACAUUUGUCAGGGUAGGUGAAAUUCAGAUAAUUGUGGAAGAUAAGAAGUAUACAAAUAAA